GCUGGAGGCGCUCUGCCUUUUCUACUCCCGCGGCGAUGAGGGUUCUUUGUUCCCUUGGCCGCCCACCCGAUAAAUGGGAAAUGCUCUUGUGUAAAGAGCAGUGGAAGGAUUGAGGAUCCCCGCACAGCUGGGACGUGUAGGAGGGUUAAGGGCUGGUCUCACAGCCCCAGCGCUGCUGGGCUUCGGCAGACAUUUGCGCUGUGCUCUCAGGCACAUGCCCUGACUCCUGGCCUGUGCCAGUCUGAGAGUUGGACGCCGUGGUCCUUUUCAACAUGUAUCAGCUACGCUCCUCCUUCCUGUGGCUUCAGUGCAGAUCUGCCCCCAAAUGUGGAGACCUAAUACUUCCUCUUCCCAAGGAUUUGAAUCCUGCACUUCAGAGGAAUGCAGAAGGAACAGCACCUGGCACUGGGAGAUUAAACUAUGAGCUGUUACAGGGUUGGCCUCAACAGAGCCCCAUACCUCUUGUGUGAAAAACCAUUUCACCUCUUACUGAUGUGGGUGAAGACAAGGCCUUCCUAAUUCAAGGCUUCCAGAUGUUUCUCACUGUGAGGUGUGAUGGAGCUGGGAAGUGAGGGACCUGGUAGUGCUGCCAGCAAAAGGUGAAGCUUGCAUGGAGUUUGAGAAACAAGAGGGAUGUGCCUGAGGAAAGGACUAUUGCUGUGUUUGCAGCCGUACUGGGUGAAGAGGCAACUCAAACUAGCAUACGAAGAAUUGAGAAGGUGGAAGAUUGCUGAUGAAUGGGUUACACUUGCAUGAACAGCAUUAAAAAAGCCAAUGUGUUUUUACCCCACUGGUAAUGUUUGCCUGAUAUUGAUUGGAGUGAAUAAAAAUCUGUAAACUCUA